CCGAGCGUUAUCCCUAUUUAUUGGGUUUAAAGGGAGCGUACAUGGAUGUUU
rnacentral:rRNA from 1 species